UGUAAUCAGCUCGAUUUCAUUGGUCGGCCAAGGUCACGUGGUCUGUAUAUAAAUGUCCGCUCUGUCUGCUCCAGUAUCAGAUAUUUCCUCAACGAAACAUCCGACUCUUAUUUAACAUGGGCAAGGAAAGGACCAGCGUCAACAUGGCCGUCGUCGGUUACUACUAGACCUUCCUUCAGCAGAUGGACGGAUAGUACAACACGGAUAUGACCCGGCUUCUGUACACGGACACGCUCUGGACACGGACAACACGAUGCUAGCUCUCCCAGACUACACAUCAACCUAAUUGGAUCUUUUUGUAGACUUAUUUUGACCAAAUAAAUCAAAAUUUUCAGUUUA